UACGUAGGUGGCAAGCGUUGUCCGGAUUUAUUGGGCGUAAAGAGCGUGUAGGCGGUCCGGUAAGUCAGCUGUGAAAGUCAAGGGCUCAACCCUUGAAAGCCGGUUGAUACUGUCGGGCUAGAGUCCGGAAGAGGCGAGUGGAAUUCCCGGUGUAGCGGUGAAAUGCGCAGAUAUCGGGAGGAACACCAAUGGCGAAGGCAGCUCGCUGGGACGGUACUGACGCUGAGACGCGAAAGCGUGGGGAGCAAACAGG
rnacentral:rRNA from 1 species